rnacentral:rRNA from 1 species
AAAUGAAUAGACGGGGGCCCGCACAAGCGGAGGAACAUGUGGUUUAAUUCGAUGAUACGCGAGGAACCUUACCCGGGUUUGAACGUAGGGAGACAGGGGUGGAAACAUCCUUUUCAGCAAUGACUGCCUACGAGGUGCUGCAUGGUUGUCGUCAGCUCGUGCCGUGAGGUGUCGGCUUAAGUGCCAUAACGAGCGCAACCCUUAUUUUCAGUUACUAACAGGUAAUGCUGAGGACUCUGAAGAGACUGCCAGCGUAAGCUGUGAGGAAGGUGGGGAUGACGUCAAAUCAGCACGGCCCUUACAUCCGGGGCGACACACGUGUUACAAUGGUAAGGACAAAGGGCAGCUACCGGGCGACCGGAUGCUAAUCUCUAAACCUUAUCUCAGUUCGGAUCGGAGUCUGCAACUCGACUCCGUGAAGCUGGAUUCGCUAGUAAUCGCGCAUCAGCCAUGGCGCGGUGAAUACGUUCCCGGGCCUUGUACACACCGCCCGU